GACGAACGCUGGCGGCGUGCUUAACACAUGCAAGUCGAACGGAAAGGCCCUGCUUUUGUGGGGUGCUCGAGUGGCGAACGGGUGAGUAACACGUGAGUAACCUGCCCUUGACUUUGGGAUAACUUCAGGAAACUGGGGCUAAUACCGGAUAGGAGCUCCUGCUGCAUGGUGGGGGUUGGAAAGUUUCGGCGGUUGGGGAUGGACUCGCGGCUUAUCAGCUUGUUGGUGGGGUAGUGGCUUACCAAGGCUUUGACGGGUAGCCGGCCUGAGAGGGUGACCGGCCACAGUGGGACUGGGAUACGGCCCAGACUCCUACGGGAGGCAGCAGUGGGGAAUAUUGCACAAUGGGCGGAAGCCGGAUGCAGCAACGCCGCGUGCGGGAUGACGGCCUUCGGGUUGUAACCGCUUUCGCCUGUGACGAAGCGUGAGUGACGGUAAUGGGUAAAGAAGCACCGGCUAACUACGUG
rnacentral:rRNA from 1 species